CUUCAGUGAUGAUGCUUGAUGACGAGUCUGCUAGGACUUGAUCUGUCUCGGGAUUCUUGAUACAGGUGGCAUGUUCUGUGCUUCUGUGUUGAGGUCCCUGAGCACAGUGUGUCUUUUAUUGAUGACUUUGAGGCAUUUGUCUGAGAAGG